GUCGAAAAAGAACCGAAAAACGAAGCCGCCUUCGGUUUGAUUUUGAAGGCGGCAAAUAACCGCAAUUCCGUGGAGUUACAGUGCCCACUCAGCUAGUUUUUACCGAGCCACGACGUGCAAUAAGCACCGAAAUGGUACGUGCAAAUAUAUAUUAUAUAUUUCAAAUAAAAUGAUGAGCAAAAGGCAUUUGCGUAGACUCCGUAAGAGUGAAAGGGAAGCUAACAUUGCAAAGUUAGCGUUGUGCAGGAAAGAUAACAGAUAACAGCAAUGAAAUCGAUUCUCCAGCCAGCUGGCGUUUUGAGCGGCUUAAACUUUAUUUUGAGUGAGGAAAUUGUUCUAGCCUAUAACGUAAGGGAAGAAGGCCCUUAGGACCCACAAAGAAUUUUUUGCAGCUUUGCUAGAAUGUAUUCCGCCUGGCGAUGAGCCCCCGAAAACACUGUGCGGAAGGCAAUGCAAAGGAUGAAGAAAAGGGUGUUUAAGAAGAAGUGUCUUGCCAAAAACCAGGAGUAGGCUAAGCAUCAUAUAAUUAAAAAUUAUUCGUUAUAAUGAAA